rnacentral:rRNA from 1 species
GAUUAACGCUGGCGGCAGGCUUAACACAUGCAAGUCGAGCGGGGAAAGGUAGCUUGCUACCUGACCUAGCGGCGGACGGGUGAGUAAUGCUUAGGAAUCUGCCUAUUAGUGGGGGACAACGUUCCGAAAGGAACGCUAAUACCGCAUACGUCCUACGGGGGAAAGCAGGGGAUCUUCGGACCUUGCGCUAAUAGAUGAGGCUAGGUCGGAUUAGCUAGUUGGUGGGGUAAAGGCCUACCAAGGCGACGAUCUGUAGCGGGUCUGAGAGGAUGGUCCGCCACACUGGGACUGAGACACGGCCCAGACUCCUACGGGAGGCAGCAGUGGGGAAUAUUGGACAAUGGGCGCAAGCCUGAUCCAGCCAUGCCGCGUGUGUGAAGAAGGCCUUUUGGUUGUAAAGCACUUUAAGCGAGGAGGAGGCUCCUUUAGUUAAUACCUAAAGAGAGUGGACGUUACUCGCAGAAUAAGCACCGGCUAACUCUGUGCCAGCAGCCGCGGUAA